rnacentral:lncRNA from 1 species
GGCUUGUUUUCCCGGCUAGGCUCUGGAGCGGCGGGCGCGGCGCGAUGCGCGGGUACCCGGGAGCGAACGGCUGCAAGCCCCGAUGAAGCUCGAGCAGCCCCAGCCUGAUGGAGGCGCCUCCGUGGGAGCCGGUGCGCAAUGACUCCCUGCCUCCCACGCUGAGCCCCGCGGUGCCGCCCUACGUGAAGCUCGGCCUCACCGCGGUCUACAACCGUCUUCUACGCGCUCCUCUUCGUGUUCAUCUAUGCGCAGCUCUGGCUGGUGCUGCGCUACCGUCACAAGCGGCUCAGCUACCAGAGCGUCUUCCUCUUCCUUUGCCUCUUCUGGGCCUCGCUGCGUACCGUGCUCUUCUCCUUUUACUUCCGAGACUUCGUGGCAGCCAACUCGUUCAGCCCCUUCGUCUUCUGGCUGCUCUACUGCUUCCCCGUGUGUCUACAGUUCUUCACCCUCACGCUCAUGAACUUGUACUUCACGCAGGUGAUUUUCAAGGCCAAGUCAAAAUAUUCUCCAGAGCUACUCAAAUACCGGGCUCAUCAGUGUGUCAGGUAACUGCCAUUGGUGUCACCGUCAUCUUGCUCUACGCCUCUCGGGCCUGCUACAACCUGUUCAUCUUGUCAUUUUCUCAGAUCAAGAACGUCCAUUCCUUUGAUUAUGACUGGUACAAUGUAUCCGACCAGGCAGAUCUGAAGAGCCAGCUGGGUGAUGCCGGCUACGUAGUGUUUGGCGUGGUGCUUUUCGUGUGGGAGCUCCUACCCACCACCUUGGUGGUUUAUUUCUUUCGAGUCAGAAAUCCCACGAAGGAUCUUACCAAUCCUGGGAUGGUCCCCAGCCAUGGAUUCAGUCCCAGAUCUUACUUCUUUGACAACCCCCGAAGAUAUGACAGUGAUGAUGACCUUGCCUGGAACAUUGCCCCUCAGGGACUUCAGGGAAGUUUUGCUCCAGACUACUGUGAUUGGGGACAACAAAAUAACAGCUUCCUGGCACAAGCAGGAACUUUGCAUCAAGACUCCACUUUGGAUCCAGACAAAGCAAGCCAAGGGUAGCAGCAGCUGACACAGCCCUAUGGAAGAGUUCUCUGUUGACAGCCUUCAGCCAGACAGACCGGAUGACAGCUGAGUUGCUAAGGCAGUUUUCCUUAGGAAACAGAACUCUAGUUUUUGCUAUAGCUUUCUCAUGGCUCCACAGGGCUAAGCAAUAAUUUAGAGCAAUAAACCCUUUAGUACUAGCAGAGAAUCUGGCUAUUUCAGUGGGUAUAAUUUAAACUUAUAAAAGAGAUUCUGUACUUUUAUAAAGAUGUAUUUUAUAUAACUUAAAUACUAAUGCUAAAGUAUACUAGGUUUUUCCUUGAUUGUUAAUUUGUUAAUUGCAACGUAUGUUGUAGUUUGCACAGACUUUCACGCAGAAUUCACUUUAAAACGUAUAGAAUGCGUGGUCUAAUAGUUUAAAGCUUUGGGAAAACUUUCCACAAAUCUUACCUCUGAAGGUUCCUCUUGUGAGUGCCACGUGGUGGGCUCCUUUCACCGCCACUCAAGCAUUCCAAGUUAAGGGGAAGCAGAGUACCACGGUCUGUACGUAACAGGCUCAGCAGCAGCAAUUUCUCGUAAACUCUGUCCUAAGCCUGGUCCUUCUUCAUCUGAAAGCACUACUACAAGCACUCCAGUAACAAGUGGAUACUGUUAAGAUGUAGUUGCUGACACUAUUAAACCUCCUCUGCUGUGUGUGUA